rnacentral:rRNA from 1 species
GCGGUGGAUGAUGUGGAUUAAUUCGAUGCAACGCGAAAACCUUACCUACCCUUGACAUGCCAGGAACCCUGCUGAGAGGUGGGGUGCUCGAAAGAGAGCCUGGACACAGGUGCUGCAUGGCUGUCGUCAGCUCGUGUCGUGAGAUGUUGGGUUAAGUCCCGCAACGAGCGCAACCCUUGCCAUUAGUUGCUACGAAAGGGCACUCUAAUGGGACUGCCGGUGACAAACCGGAGGAAGGUGGGGAUGACGUCAAGUCCUCAUGGCCCUUAUAGGUGGGGCUACACACGUCAUACAAUGGCCGGUACAGAGGGUAGCCAACCCGCGAGGGGGAGCCAAUCCCACAAAGCCGGUCGUAGUCCGGAUCGCAGUCUGCAACUCGACUGCGUGAAGUCGGAAUCGCUAGUAAUCGCGGAUCAGCAUGUCGCGGUGAAUACGUUCCCGGGUCUU